rfam:Canis lupus familiaris chromosome X, whole genome shotgun sequence.
AGGAGGAACAACCCCAGUGGCGGCAGCAGCUCUGGAGCCCUGGAUUCAGCCCCUGCAGGAACUCCGUAGCUCUCCGCCUGCAGGGCCUGGAGGCUCCGGGGCGGG